UACGGGGGGGGCAAGCGUUGUUCGGAAUUACUGGGCGUAAAGCGUGCGCAGGCGGUUUGUUAAGUCUGAUGUGAAAGCCCCGGGCUCAACCUGGGAACUGCAUUGGAAACUGGCAAGCUCGAGUAUGGCAGAGGGGGGUGGAAUUCCGCGUGUAGCAGUGAAAUGCGUAGAGAUGCGGAGGAACACCGAUGGCGAAGGCAGCCCCCUGGGCCAAUACUGACGCUCAGGCACGAAAGCGUGGGGAGCAAACAGG
rnacentral:rRNA from 1 species